GACGAACGCUGGCGGCGUGCUUAACACAUGCAAGUCGAGCGGUAAGGCCCUUUCGGGGGUACGACGAGCGGCGAACGGGUGAGUAACACGUGGGUGACCUGCCCUCAGCUCUGGGAUAAGCCUGGGAAACCGGGUCUAAUACCGGAUAUGACUCCAUGACGCAUGUUGUGGGGUGGAAAGCCUUGUGCGGCUGAGGAUGGGCCCGCGGCCUAUCAGCUUGUUGGUGGGGNGAUGGCCUACCGAGGCGACGACGGGUAGCCGGCCUGAGAGAGCGACCGGCCACACUGGGACUGAGACACGGCCCAGACUCCUACGGGAGGCAGCAGUGGGGAAUCUUGCGCAAUGGGCGAAAGCCUGAC
rnacentral:rRNA from 1 species